GCCAACGACCAUACUACGCUGAAUACAUCGGUUCUCGUCCGAUCACCGAAAUUAAGCAGCG
rnacentral:rRNA from 1 species